rnacentral:lncRNA from 1 species
CCUUUUUGGAUUUCUUCCUACCUUGGUGCUGCCCCUUCUGAGUUUUCGUUACUGUCUGUUCCCUCUAAGGGGACAAUGUUCAGGAUUGGCCCUUCUUCCCUAUCUACACUUUGUCCUUGUUUUUCAGAAAGACCGACCCCCACCAGAUGGAAAAUGCUGACUGCUGUCACGCACAUCUCAGAUGAGCGGGAACGAGCGGGAACGAGCGGGAACUGACUGAACUCUUGACAGCUGUUCUUAUUCUCAAUUUCUUCCUGAGGGGCCUGGAGUCACGCCCACAGGCCAAAUCUUCACCUUUGCAGCCAGUUGCAAAUCAAACAAUUGCUGAAGCUUCAAGCCGCUGCUUCACCAUAUCCUGCCUUUUGAGGCCAAACUACUGUACAAGCCCCAGGACUGUUGAGCGGUAGAGGUGAGAUUCCAAGUUGGGUCCAUCUGGUGCUGAAGCACAGGCUUGGAAAUCAGCUGUACUCUGUUGGGUUCUACUACCCAGGUGAACUAUUUUCAAGUGGUUGAAACAUGUUUUAGCACCUGAUGAAGUAUGAAGAACGCGUUUCUACUACAGACUGAGGGCAGAAGCCUAAAAGCUGAAUGGACUAUGUAUGGCUUUGCAGAGAGUGUUGAGUCUAGCAGACUC